rnacentral:rRNA from 1 species
GAUGAACGCUAGCGAUAGGCUUAACACAUGCAAGUCGAGGGGCAGCAUGGUCUUAGCUUGCUAAGACUGAUGGCGACCGGCGCACGGGUGCGUAACGCGUAUGCAACUUGCCUCACAGAGGGGGAUAACCCGUCGAAAGACGGACUAAUACCGCGUACACUUGGGAUAGGGCAUCCUGACCCAAGGAAAUGAAAUUCGCUGUGAGAUAGGCAUGCGUCCCAUUAGCUAGUUGGUGAGGUAACGGCUCACCAAGGCGACGAUGGGUAGGGGAACUGAGAGGUUGAACCCCCACACUGGGACUGAGACACGGACCAGACUCCUACGGGAGGCAGCAGUGAGGAAUAUUGGUCAAUGGGCGAGAGCCUGAACCAGCCAAGUCGCGUGAAGGAUGACUGUCUUAUGGAUUGUAAACUUCUUUUAGACGGGAAUAACAAGAGUCACGUGUGGCUCCCUGCAUGUACCGGAUGAAUAAGCAUCGGCUAACUCCGUG